rnacentral:misc_RNA from 1 species
CCAGAAUUAUCAAUAACUAUCUAACGUGUGCAUCCCGAACUAGGAUCACCACACCGGUCUGUCAUGACCAUGAGAACCUACAACAAAGCAGUGCUCCUCGUCCUUGCCAUGGUGAUGGCGGUGCUGUCGACAGGGAUCUGCACGGUGCCGGCGCCGGCGCCGAGCUUGGAGGAGUUCCCGACGACGACAGAGAACACGUGUGUGAAGAUCCUCGCCGACAGCGGCUGCGUCCGCAACCACAAGGCGUGCCACGACAACUGCUUCAUCAAGCUCAAGGGCAAUGGCGUGUGCCUUCGCGACGCGUGCUGGUGCUCCUACACAUGCAAGCCAUCGCUGCUGUCGCCGCCACCGGCGGCCCAGUGAAACUGCCAUACAGGGCAGCGGGACGCCGAGAUGACGUUCAGAUUUGUGUGACAUCCUAGAUUCCUAGUAUCCUCCUAGAGGCCGGCGGUGUCGCUUGCCAUGAGGCAUGCUCGAAAUCGAGAAUAAUUUUAGAUGGAUGAGUUCGUGUCCAAGCCUUGCGCUUCGAGAAUUGUGUGCCAACACAACGGAACGGACACACGUUCUCUGAAUUCAUGUAUGGAAUAGGUCGAACGUGUACUCCAGAGAAUUCCGCGCGCUCGCCAGUCUUCCUAGCUCGUCGGCAAACCAACGGAUACUCGGCGUAUUUUGGAUGAGCUCCUCUAGUCCUCUCUCCUCUGUUAGAUGACUGCUCUUAAUCCAUUUAAAUGCUAGUAUAUUGUAUCUAUUUUGUCCAUCGGUCAUCCCGUUUGAUCGGGCGUUUAGCCUGCCCUGAAUAAACGGCUAAACUAUAGGUGACUAACUAUUUAGGUUAGGUGAACACAUGCCUAGUAGUAUGUGGUGUUCAGUGGUC